UUUUGGUGAGUUAUUCAGUUUUCCUGGGUCUCUCCCAAGUAUACAUGUUAUUAAAAUUUUGUUUGAUUUUCUCCUAUUAAUCUUUCUCCUGUCCAUUUAAUUCAUAGACCAGCCAGAAGAAGAGGAAAGGUCUUUCUGAGAACAUGAUGUCUUCACGGCCAGGAAGUUAAAGAAGCUUCGUUACCACACUUGAGACCUGAGAAGUUCUGAGGCCAGGGCAGGGCAAGAAAGUCUUUGCCUCCAAUCAUGAGGAGAAAGGGCAGAGGAAGGGUGGC